GACGAACGCUGGCGGCGUGCCUAAUACAUGCAAGUCGAACGCAGUGGGGACGGGUGAGUAACACGUGGGUAACCUCCCAUCAGAGGGGAAAAGAUUUGGAAACAGGCACUAAACCGAUAGUGUUGGAUGGACGGGGGGGGCAUUAGCUAGGUGGUGAGGUAACGGCUCACCAAGGCAACGAUGCAUAGCCGGCCUGAGAGGAUGAUCGGCCACACUGGGACUGAGACACGGCCCAGACUCCUACGGGAGGCAGCAGUAGGGAAUCUUCGGCAAUGGACGAAAGUCUGACCGAGCAACGCCGCGUGAGUGAAGAAGGUUUUCGGAUCGUAAAACUCUGUUGUUAGAGAAGCGUUAUCUAACCAGAAAGCCACGGCUAACUACGUGCCAGCAGCCGCGGUAAUUC
rnacentral:rRNA from 1 species